rnacentral:rRNA from 1 species
UACGUAGGUGGCAAGCGUUGUCCGGAUUUAUUGGGUUUAAAGGGUGCGUAGGCGGCCCUGUAAGUCAGUGGUGAAAUACGGCAGCUCAACUGUCGAGGUGCCAUUGAUACUGCGGGGCUUGAGUGUUGACGAGGCAGGCGGAAUUGACGGUGUAGCGGUGAAAUGCUUAGAUAUCGUCAAGAACACCGAUAGCGAAGGGAGCCUGCCAGGCAACAACUGACGCUGAGGCACGAAAGUGCGGGGAUCAAACAGG